rnacentral:rRNA from 1 species
CCUACGGGAGGCAGCAGUGAGGAAUAUUGGUCAAUGGACGCAAGUCUGAACCAGCCACGUCGCGUGAAGGAAGACGGCCCUACGGGUUGUAAACUUCUUUUAUACGGGAAUAAAGUGCCCCACGCGUGGGGUUUUGCAUGUACCGUAUGAAUAAGGAUCGGCUAACUCCGUGCCAGCAGCCGCGGUAAUACGGAGGAUCCGAGCGUUAUCCGGAUUUAUUGGGUUUAAAGGGUGCUCAGGCGGGGGAUUAAGUCGGCGGUGAAAUUUUGCAGCUCAACUGUAAAAGUGCCUUCGAAACUGGUUUCCUUGAGUGUGGAUGAGGUAGGCGGAAUUUGUGGUGUAGCGGUGAAAUGCAUAGAUAUCACGAGGAACUCCGAUUGCGCAGGCAGCUUACUAAACCAUAACUGACGCUCAAGCACGAAGGCGUGGGGAUCAAACAG